GAGUUUGAUCGUGGCUCAGAUUGAACGCUGGCGGCAUGCCUUACACAUGCAAGUCGAACGGCAGCACGGGAGCUUGCUCCUGGUGGGCGAGUGGCGAACGGGUGAGUAAUGCAUCGGAACGUAUCCUGGAGUGGGGGAUAACGUAGCGAAAGUUACGCUAAUACCGCAUAUUCUGUGAGCAGGAAAGCGGGGGACCUUCGGGCCUCGCGCUCUUGGAGCGGCCGAUGUCGGAUUAGCUAGUUGGUGAGGUAAAGGCUCACCAAGGCGACGAUCCGUAGCAGGUCUGAGAGGAUGAUCUGCCACACUGGAACUGAGACACGGUCCAGACUCCUACGGGAGGCAGCAGUGGGGAAUUUUGGACAAUGGGGGGCAACCCUGAUCCAGCCAUGCCGCGUGAGUGAAGAAGGCCU
rnacentral:rRNA from 1 species